UACGUAGGGUGCGAGCGUUGUCCGGAAUUAUUGGGCGUAAAGAGCUCGUAGGCGGUGUGUCGCGUCGGCCGUGAAAACCUGCAGCUUAACUGUGGGCUUGCGGUCGAUACGGGCAUCACUGGAGUUCGGCAGGGGAGACUGGAAUUCCUGGUGUAGCGGUGAAAUGCGCAGAUAUCAGGAGGAACACCGGUGGCGGAAGGCGGCUCUCUGGGACGGGUACUGACGCUGAGGCACGAAGGCCCAGGGGGAGCAA
rnacentral:rRNA from 1 species